rnacentral:lncRNA from 1 species
GAAGGAAUCACGGGGAAGGGGAUUCUCUCCCAGUUGAAUCUGGAGACCGGUAUCCCCAUCUACGAGGCAGAGCCGCUGCUCCUCUUCUUCAUCCUCUUCACCCUCCUCGGCGCCAUUGGAGCUCUGGGAGACCGUGGGCGCUUCGUCGAUGACCCCCCCACUGGGCUCGAGAAGGCCGUCAUCGCCCCCGGCAAGGGCAUCAGAUCUGCCCUGGGUCUCAAAGAAGGAGGUAAGCCCCACUUCAGACUGCCUUCUGCUCCGCCUACACCGCCGGAUUCUGACCCUCUGCAAUGGAUCCAUCUGCGAAGGCCCUCUGUUCGGAUUCACGAAGGCGAAUGAGCUCUUCGUGGGAAGGCUGGCGCAGCUCGGGAUCGCCUUCUCCAUCAUCGGGGAGAUCAUCACCGGAAAGGGUGCUCUGGCGCAGCUGAACAUCGAGACCGGUGUGCCGAUCAGCGACAUCGAACCUCUGGUCCUGUUCAACGUCGCCUUCUUCUUCUUCGCCGCCCUCAACCCUGGCACCGGCAAGUUCCUCACCGACGAGGAGGAAGACUGAGACGUGGAGCUGCAGAGCUCCGGCGGAGCAUGGACUCGCGACAAGACCUCCGCUCUUCUUCCAGGGAGCAUGUAUUUUUUUAUUUAUUUUUGUAAACAUCUAGUCGAACCUUCAAAUGAUAUAACCCUCUCUCUCUCUCUCUCUCUCUCUNN